rnacentral:rRNA from 1 species
AUGGUCCACAACAGAGCCGGCUACAGGUUGCAUGUUGUGUGUGUGCGCGCGGGGGGUGGGGGGUGGGGGGGUGGGGUUCUCCUUCCACUCCGGCAAUCUGGAUUCAAACUUGGUUCUGAAAAGCACACCACAGAGGUCACCGUGAAGAAGUCUGGAAGCCUGCUUAUAAAUUCUGGGAUACAAGGAUACUCCCUGCUAAAGACAACUCAGUCUGGAUUUGAAGGAUUCGUGAGGGAUCGCUACACCCUUCUUCCUGAAACAAGAGAAAGAAUUGUAGCUACAGAAGUAACUGCUUGGUGGAGCAGAUGA